rnacentral:rRNA from 1 species
AGUUUGAUCAUGGCUCAGAGCGAACGCUGGCGGCGUGCUUAACACAUGCAAGUCGAACGCGCAGUUUUCUGUAGCAAUACAGGAAGCGGGCGCGUGGCGAACGGGUGCGUAACACGUGGAUAACCUUCCUUCAGGUGGGGAAUAACCCCGCGAAAGCGGGGCUAAUACCGCAUAACAUGACGAUGGCACAUGCCGUUGUCUUCAAAGCCGCAAGGCGCCAGAAGAGGGAUCCGCGGCCGAUUAGCUUGUUGGCGAGGUAAUGGCUCACCAAGGCAUUGAUCGGUAGCCGGACUGAGAGGUCGGCCGGCCACACUGGAACUGAGACACGGUCCAGACUCCUACGGGAGGCAGCAGUGGGGAAUCUUGCGCAAUGGGCGAAAGCCUGACGCAGCAACGCCGCGUGGGGGAUGAAGCUUCUCGGAGUGUAAACCCCUUUCGACCCGGACGAAUGCCCGCAAGGGUUUGACGGUACGGGUAUAAGAAGCCCCGGCUAACUACGUGCCAGCAGCCGCGGUAGUCGGGCCCA